AUGCACGCUGGCGGCGUGCCUAAUACCUUCAAGUCGCGCGAACAGACGAGGAGCUUGCUCCUCUGACGUUAUCGGCGUACGGGUGAGUAACACGUGGAUAACCUACCUAUAAUACUGGGAUAACUUCGGGAAACCGGAGCUAAUACCGGAUAAUAUAUUUAACCGCAUGGUUCAAUAGUUAAAUACGGUUUUGCUUUCACUUAUAGAUUGAUCCUCGCCGCAUUAGAUAGUUGGUAAGGUAACGGCUUACCAAGGCAACGAUGCGUAGACGACCUGAGAGGGGGAUCGGCGACACUGGAAGUGAGACACGGACCAGACGCCUACGGGAGGCAGCAGUAGGGAAUAUUCCGCAAUGGGCGAAAGCAUGACGGAGAAACGCCGCGUGAGUGAUGAAGGUCUUCGGAUCGUAAAACUCUGUUAUUAGGGAAGAACAAAUGUGUAAGUAAAUAUGCACGUAUUGACGGUAACUAAUAAGAAAGCAACGGCUAACUACGUG
rnacentral:rRNA from 1 species